rnacentral:lncRNA from 1 species
UCUGGGAGGGAGGUGGGGGGUCAGCCCCCCGCCCGGCCAGCCGCCCCGUCCGGGAGGUGAGGGGCGCCUCUGCCCGGCUGCCCUUACUGGGAAGUGAGGAGCCCCUCUGCCCAGCCACCACCCUGUCUGGGAGGUGUACCCAACAGCUCAUUGAGAACGGGCCAUGAUGACAAUGGCGGUUUUGUGGAAUAGAAAGGGGGGAAAGGUGGGGAAAGGAUUGAGAAAUCGGAUGGUUGCCGUGUCUGUGUGGAAAGAAGUAGACAUGGGAGACUUUUCAUUUUGUUCUGUACUAAGAAAAAUUCUUCUGUCUUGGGAUCCUGUUGAUCUGUGACCUUACCCCCAACCCUGUGCUCUCUGAAACAUGUGCUGUGUCCACUCAGGUUUGAAUGGAUUAAGGGCGGUGCAAGAUGUGCUUUGUUAAACAGAGGCUUGAAGGCAGCAUGCUCCUUAAGAGUCAUCACCACUCCCUAAUCUCAAGUACCCAGGGACACAAACACUGCGGAAGGCCGCAGGGUCCUCUGCCUAGGAAAACCAGAGACCUUUGUUCACUUGUUUAUCUGCUGACCUUCCCUCCACUAUUGUCCUGUGACCCUGCCAAAUCCCCCUCUGCGAGAAACACCCAAGAAUGA